AGUCAUUAGAUGAAUAAAGCUGGGAGGAGAAUUUUAGCCUGUGAGCUUGUUGAUGCCGGUAUAAAUAGAUCAAUUCCAUAGCACCAUCAGCAUUGCCAUGGUUUAAUUGCAGACUGACUGAGGAGCCCGAGGAUCCUUCCGUAGAGAUUGAUAGAUGUGUCAGCAUAAUGUUUAGAUUAGAAGGAUUUCUACUGAUUCAUGAAAGGAUGAAUGUUAAAAUGUUGGUGUCUUUUCUACGUCUUAUCUUAGUAAUACAUCUCUCCUCUUGCCAAGAGCAAUCACUGUGUCCUCACAUCGGCCAAAUAACCAGGUCUCAGUUACCUGCGGCCGAGGUGUCACAUUUUUAUGACGAUCUUCAUGACUCUUCCCCUCGUAAGUAGCACUCUACCCAUGCACGCACCAUCAUUAUAUUACCAGAUUCAUAGCAUGAAUUGCGGUGAGCCAGUAGAAGAUAGUGUUAUGGAUUGCGGUGACAACUAAAGACGCAUUCUAGGCUGAAAAAUGAUAUGACUUGAACAGAUAAGGUAAAUUCAGACAAUAACGCUAAAAUUCCAUCUAAAUCGGACAAGAAAUGAUAAGGUUAUAAUAUUUUAUAUUUUGCAUAAUUUCGGAGAACAGUGCUAAGCAUGUGUUAAUGAAAUGCAAUUAGCAAGCUGAUGAUGUUAUACCCUUUAUUCUUUUGUAUUCAUUACAUGAAUUUAUGUUUAUUCAUUUUUUCUCCAAGAACAGAACUUCUGAUUUAAUGAGUAAAAUAAUAAUUGCUGCAACGUAUUUUGUAACACGGGAGAUAUAUCACACUUAUAUGUAUGAAAGUUAUAAUUAUAGAGGGAAUGUGAUAUCAUCAUGUAACAUAUUGCAUAUUAAUGAGAGCCCGGGUGUGCGAUACAAAAAUGUUUUCACAAAACAUUGGUAAAAUUUUAUUCAAUAACUUAAUUAUUUGAGCGAUUGGCUAAGUGAAUUUUGUUCUAGUCUUGGUCUAGUGGAAAAAAGGAAUUAAAGUUGAUUUAUAUUAAGUCAUUAAAAUGUCGUGCAUGCAGGACAGGGUUGCUGAAAAGCCUGAAAAGAAGAAUAAAAAUCAUACACCAUACUUUUGCCCCCACAAAAAUAAUCAAAGGCAAAGAAAAGUAACAUUUAACUUUACUAAGGCUCGAUUAAUCAAGUUCUUGUCUGAACGAUCGUAAGCCCGUGUCGUAAAUCUCUUGAUCCAUAUCGCUCUUAUCAAUAUAAAUAACACUUUAAUCAAAUUGAUUACUUACACAUUCGGCAUUGGUACACAUAGGACAUCUGAGUGUUAUUUGAAUGACAAAAUGGUAGCAAUUUCUUACGUUUAUCCUGAGUUUAAUAGUUCAUGCGCUGUAAUAUGAAAUGAAUAGUUUUUACUUUGUGUCUAUCCGAGCCAAUAAGUUCGGGCAAUAAGUUCCCUUUUUUUUUUCAAUUUUAAUUGACCACUGGCAUAAAUCCAAGCAUUGAACCUAUCGUUUAGGGAGAUGAUCUAUUGUUUCACCCCCCCCCCAUGACGCCACGGACUUACGCCAAUGCAUCUUCGUGGAAGCGUGUAUAGCAAAUCGCAUCUUAUCGAUAUUAAGUGGAAUUUUAUUGUUUGAUACCAAAUCACACAUUCAAAAUACUUUAGUGCUCAUAAAGCUGGAUUUUCUCUAGCUUUACCCUAACAUCUUUUUAGUAUUACUGACGUACUAGCAGAGCCCGUGGAAAUUCCACGGGUUUUGGGGGUGUGAUUAAGUUAAAUAGAAUUUGUUGUAGAUUGACAUGUCUAUUCAAGAUAGGGAAAGAAAUAAACAUUUGAACUUUUUAAGAGAAGGUUGUGGUUUGAAAGGAAUGUGAAAGUUAGGUUUUUAUUUGAAGUCGUAAUUUGUUUUGAAAAAUAUAUGAUUGAUUAAAAGUGAUAAAGAGUAUAUAGGAUUAUGGUUAAUAGAAGAAAUACAGAUAAGAGAAUUAAAAUGCUAUUGAAGUUGGACGAAUAUGAUAUUUAGUUAAAGUAGCUUUUAAAAAUAUUGCCCCUCAUUUUAACUAUAAAAAGGGAAGUCGAAAAAGUAUUUGGUUUUGGAGGAUUUACAUUAACCCAUUUAUUUACUUGUUCAACGUAUUUCAUUGCAUUAGCUGAUAUUCAUUUUAUCGCCCCCGCCUUUUAUUUUUUUUUAUUUUAUUUUUUUUACUGUCUUUUAUUUCUAUUUGUCCCAAAAAGUAAAGAAGGAAGAAAACAUUUUCAAAAGAUGCAAGUUUAUUUUUUUGGUCCCCUUUAUCACU